UUUUAUGGAGAGUUUGAUCCUGGCUCAGGAUGAACGCUGGCGGCGUGCCUAAUACAUGCAAGUCGAGCGAACGGACGAGAAGCUUGCUUCUCUGAUGUUAGCGGCGGACGGGUGAGUAACACGUGGAUAACCUACCUAUAAGACUGGGAUAACUUCGGGAAACCGUAGCUAAUACCGGAUAAUAUUUUGAACCGCAUGGUUCAAAAGUGAAAGACGGUCUUGCUGUCACUUAUAGAUGGAUCCGCGCUGCAUUAGCUAGUUGGUAAGGUAACGGCUUACCAAGGCAACGAUGCAUAGCCGACCUGAGAGGGUGAUCGGCCACACUGGAACUGAGACACGGUCCAGACUCCUACGGGAGGCAGCAGUAGGGAAUCUUCCGCAAUGGGCGAAAGCCUGACGGAGCAACGCCGCGUGAGUGAUGAAGGUCUUCGGAUCGUAAAACUCUGUUAUUAGGGAAGAACAUAUGUGUAAGUAACUGUGCACAUCUUGACGGUACCUAAUCAGAAAGCCACGGCUAACUACGUGCCAGCAGCCGCGGUAAUACGUAGGUGGCAAGCGUUAUCCGGAAUUAUUGGGCGUAAAGCGCGCGUAGGCGGUUUUUUAAGUCUGAUGUGAAAGCCCACGGCUCAACCGUGGAGGGUCAUUGGAAACUGGAAAACUUGAGUGCAGAAGAGGAAAGUGGAAUUCCAUGUGUAGCGGUGAAAUGCGCAGAGAUAUGGAGGAACACCAGUGGCGAAGGCGACUUUCUGGUCUGUAACUGACGCUGAUGUGCGAAAGCGUGGGGAUCAAACAGGAUUAGAUACCCUGGUAGUCCACGCCGUAAACGAUGAGUGCUAAGUGUUAGGGGGUUUCCGCCCCUUAGUGCUGCAGCUAACGCAUUAAGCACUCCGCCUGGGGAGUACGACCGCAAGGUUGAAACUCAAAGGAAUUGACGGGGACCCGCACAAGCGGUGGAGCAUGUGGUUUAAUUCGAAGCAACGCGAAGAACCUUACCAAAUCUUGACAUCCUUUGACAACUCUAGAGAUAGAGCCUUCCCCUUCGGGGGACAAAGUGACAGGUGGUGCAUGGUUGUCGUCAGCUCGUGUCGUGAGAUGUUGGGUUAAGUCCCGCAACGAGCGCAACCCUUAAGCUUAGUUGCCAUCAUUAAGUUGGGCACUCUAAGUUGACUGCCGGUGACAAACCGGAGGAAGGUGGGGAUGACGUCAAAUCAUCAUGCCCCUUAUGAUUUGGGCUACACACGUGCUACAAUGGACAAUACAAAGGGCAGCGAAACCGCGAGGUCAAGCAAAUCCCAUAAAGUUGUUCUCAGUUCGGAUUGUAGUCUGCAACUCGACUACAUGAAGCUGGAAUCGCUAGUAAUCGUAGAUCAGCAUGCUACGGUGAAUACGUUCCCGGGUCUUGUACACACCGCCCGUCACACCACGAGAGUUUGUAACACCCGAAGCCGGUGGAGUAACCUUUUAGGAGCUAGCCGUCGAAGGUGGGACAAAUGAUUGGGGUGAAGUCGUAACAAGGUAGCCGUAUCGGAAGGUGCGGCUGGAUCACCUCCUUUCUA
rnacentral:rRNA from 2 species